rnacentral:rRNA from 1 species
GAUGAACGCUAGCGGCAGGCUUAAUACAUGCAAGUCGAGGGGCAGCAUGACUGUAGCAAUACAGUUGAUGGCGACCGGCAAACGGGUGCGGAACACGUACAGAACCUUCUUUCGAGCGGGGAAUAGCCCAGAGAAAUUUGGAUUAAUACCCCAUAGUAUAGCGGAGGUGCAUCACUCUGUUAUUAAAGAUUUAUCAAUGGAAGACGGCUGUGCGGCUGAUUAGGUAGUUGGCGGGGUAACGGCCCACCAAGCCUGCGAUCAGUAACUGGUGUGAGAGCACGACAAGUCACACGGGCACUGAGACACGGGCCCGACUCCUACGGGAGGCAGCAGUAAGGAAUAUUGGUCGAUGGACGAAAGUCUGAACCAGCCAUGCCGCGUGGAGGAUGAAGGUCCUCUGGAUUGUAAACUUCUUUUAUAUGGGACGAAAAAAGGCUUUUCUAAGUCGUCUGACGGUACCAUAUGAAUAAGCACCGGCUAACUCCGUGCCAGCCGCCGCGGUAAGAC